rnacentral:rRNA from 1 species
AGUCGACGCCCCCCCUUCAGCUCGCUUGAAGGUUCUUCGUAGUUGGGAAGGAUCAAGACCGCAGGCGGUCUUGAUGGGGGGUGAGUGGCAGACGGGUGAGUAACGCGUGGGAACCUACCCAUUGGUACGGAAUAACCCGGGGAAACCCGAGCUAAUACCGUAUACGCCCUCGGGCUUUGCCCUUGGGGAAAGAUUCAUCGCCGAUGGAUGGGCCCGCGUCGGAUUAGCUUGUUGGUGUGGUAACGGCGCACCAAGGCGACGAUCCGUAGCUGGUCUGAGAGGAUGAUCAGCCACACUGGGACUGAGACACGGCCCAGACUCCUACGGGAGGCAGCAGUGGGGAAUAUUGGACAAUGGGCGCAAGCCUGAUCCAGCCAUGCCGCGUGAGUGAAGAAGGCCUUAGGGUUGUAAAUCUCUUUCGGCGGGGAAGAUAAUGACGGUACCCGCAGAAGAAGCCCCGGCUAACUCCGUGCCAGCAGCCGCGGUAAUACGGAGGGGGCUAGCGUUGUUCGGAAUUACUGGGCGUAAAGGGCACGUAGGCUGGCUGUUAAGUCGGGGGUGAAAUCCUGAGGCUCAACCUCAGAAUUGCCUCCGAUACUGGCGGUCUCGAGUGCGGGAGAGGUGAGUGGAAUUCCCAGUGUAGAGGUGAAAUUCGUAGAUAUUGGGAAGAACACCAGUGGCGAAGGCGGCUCACUGGCCCGCAACUGACGCUGAAGUGCGAAAGCGUGGGGAGCAAACAGGAUUA